rnacentral:rRNA from 1 species
GACGAACGCUGGCGGCGUGCUUAACACAUGCAAGUCGAACGGAAAGGCCCUGCUUUUGUGGGGUGCUCGAGUGGCGAACGGGUGAGUAACACGUGAGUAACCUGACCUUCACUUUGGGAUAACUUAAGGAAACUGGGGCUAAUACCGGAUAGGAGCUCCUGCUGCAUGGUGGGGGUGGGAAAGUUUCGGCGGUGGGGGAUGGACUCGCGGCUUAUCGGCUUGUUGGUGGGGUAGUGGCUUACCAAGGCUUUGACGGGUAGCCGGCCUGUGAGGGUGACCGGCCACAUGGGGACUGAGAGACGGCCCAGAGUCCUACGGGGGGCAGCAGUGGGGAAUAUUGCACAAUGGGCGGAAGCCUGAUGCAGCAACGCCGCGUGCGGGAUGACGGCUUUCGGGUUGUAAACCGCUUUCGCCUGUGACGAAGCGUGAGUGACGGUAAUGGGUAAAGAAGCACCGGCUAACUACGUG